GCCCCCGUGGCUUAGUGGCUAUAGCGGCUGUUCUCUAUGAGCUGAAACUUGUAGCCAUUAGCAGGCAAUCAGCAGGUCGCGAGUUCAACUCUCGCCGGGGGCU
rnacentral:tRNA from 1 species